AAAACUUUAAGUUAAUUUUAAACUAUUAACCUUCAAAGUUAAAAAUAAUUAUCUUUUUAUUAAGUUUUA